rnacentral:rRNA from 1 species
CCCUUAGAUGUUCUGGGCUGCACGCGCGCUACACUGAUGCGCUCAACGAGUUUAUGACCUUGCCCGGAAGGGUUGGGUAAUCUUUUCAAAACGCAUCGUGAUGGGGAUAGAUUAUUGCAAUUAUUAAUCUUCAACGAGGAAUUCCUAGUAAGCGCGAGUCAUCAGCUCGUGCUGAUUACGUCCCUGCCCUUUGUACACACCGCCCGUCGCUCCUACCGAUCGAGUGAUCCGGUGAAUAAUUCGGACUGCGGCAAUGUUCAGCUCCUGAAUGUUGCUGCGGAAAGUUUAGUGAACCUUAUCACUUAGAGGAAGGAGAAGUCGUAACA